rnacentral:rRNA from 1 species
GUACCCCAAACCGACACAGGUGGUCGGGUAGAGAAUACCAAGGCGCUUGAGAGAACUCGGGUGAAGGAACUAGGCAAAAUGGUACCGUAACUUCGGGAGAAGGUACGCUCUCGACGGUGAAGUCCCUCGCGGAUGGAGCUAUUGAGAGUCGCAGAUACCAGGUGGCUGCAACUGUUUAUUAAAAACACAGCACUGUGCAAAAUCGUAAGAUGACGUAUACGGUGUGACGCCUGCCCGGUGCCGGAAGGUUAAUU